GAUAAACGCUGGCGGCGCACAUAAGACAUGCAAGUCGAACGGACUUAACCAUUAGUUUACUAUUGGAGCGGUUAGUGGCGGACUGGUGAGUAACACGUAAGCAACCUGCCUAUCAGAGGGGAACAACAGUUAGAAAUGACUGCUAAUACCGCAUAUGCCUUAGUAACACAUGUUACAAAAGGGAAAGGAGCAAUCCGCUGAUAGAUGGGCUUGCGUCUGAUUAGCUAGUUGGUGGGGUAACGGCCUACCAAGGCGACGAUCAGUAGCCGGACUGAGAGGUUGAACGGCCACAUUGGGACUGAGAUACGGCCCAG
rnacentral:rRNA from 1 species